rnacentral:tRNA from 1 species
UAAGUUAAUUUUUAGUUAAAAUUUUCAUUUACAUUGAUAAAUAUAUCGUUCAAUUCGGUAUAACUUGU